rnacentral:misc_RNA from 1 species
UAGAGUUUUUAACUCCCAAACCCAUGUGAACCUACUAUUUUGUUGCCUCGGCGGGCUCUGCUCUUCGGAACAGGCCCAAGCCCGCCGGUGGCCCAACUAAACUCUUGUAUUAUUUGUUAUCUGAGAGUUAUUUUUAAAAUAAGUCA